rnacentral:rRNA from 1 species
AUGGCGAAGAAGGCCGCAAAGCGAGCUGUUGGUGAAGCAAGGGGUCGGGCAUAUGAGGACCUCUACCAACGGUUAGGCACGAAGGAAGGUGAAAGGGACAUCUAUAAGAUGGCUAAGAUCCGGGAGAGGAAGACGAGGGAUAUUGGCCAAGUCAAAUGCAUCAAGGACGGAGCAGGCCAACUCUUGGUGAAGGACGAAGAGAUUAAGCAUAGAUGGCGGGAGUACUUCGACAAGCUGUUCAAUGGGGAGAAUGAGAGUUCUAGCAUUGAACUGAAUGACUCCUUUGAUGAGACCAGCAUGUGUUUUGUGCGGCGCAUCCAGGAGUCUGAGGUGAAGGAGGCUUUAAAAAGGAUGAAAGGAGGCAAGGCGAUGGGCCCUGAUUGUAUCCCCAUUGAGGUGUGGAAAGGUCUCGGGGACAUAGCGAUAGUAUGGCUAACCAAGCUUUUCAACCUCAUUUUUCGGGCAAACAAGAUGCCAGAAGAAUGGAGACGAAGUAUAGUACCAAUCUUCAAGAACAAGGGGGAUGUUCAGAGUUGUACUAAUUACCGUGGAAUUAAGCUGAUGAGCCAUACAAUGAAGCUAUGGGAGAGAGUCAUUGAGCACCGCUUAAGAAGAAUGACAAGCGUGACCAAAAAUCAGUUUGGUUUCAUGCCUGGGAGGUCGACCAUGGAAGCCAUUUUCUUGGUACGACAACUUAUGGAGAGAUAUAGGGAGCAUAAGAAGGACUUGCAUAUGGUGUUCAUUGACUUGGAGAAGGCCUAUGAUAAGAUACCGCGGAAUGUCAUGUGGUGGGCCUUGGAGAAACACAAAGUCCCAGCAAAGUACAUUACCCUCAUCAAGGACAUGUACAAUAAUGUUGUGACAAGUGUUCGAACAAGUGAUGUCGACACCGAUGACUUCCCGAUUAAGAUAGGACUGCAUCAGGGUCAGCUUUGA